UACGAAGGGGGCUAGCGUUGUUCGGAAUUACUGGGCGUAAAGGGCGCGUAGGCGGCCAUAAUAGUCGGGCGUGAAAGCCCCGGGCUCAACCUGGGAACUGCGUUCGAUACUGUAUGGCUUGAGGGUGGGAGAGGAUAGUGGAAUUCCGAGUGUAGAGGUGAAAUUCGUAGAUAUUCGGAGGAACACCAGUGGCGAAGGCGACUAUCUGGACCAUUACUGACGCUGAGGCGCGAAAGCGUGGGGAGCAAACAGG
rnacentral:rRNA from 1 species